UAAGGAAUAUUGGUCAAUGGAGGCAACUCUGAACCAGCCAUGCCGCGUGCAGGAUGAAGGCGCUCUGCGUUGUAAACUGCUUUUAUCUGGGAAGAAAUCUCCUUUUCUAAGGAAGUUGACGGUACCAGAGGAAUAAGCACCGGCUAACUCCGUGCCAGCAGCCGCGGUAAUACGGAGGGUGCAAGCGUUAUCCGGAUUUACUGGGUUUAAAGGGUGCGUAGGCGGGCUUUUAAGUCAGUGGUGAAAGCUCCGAGCUUAACUCGGAAAUUGCCAUUGAUACUAUUAGUCUUGAAUUCAGUUGAGGUCGGCGGAAUGUGUCGUGUAGAGGUGAAAUUCUUAGAUAUGACACAGAACACCAAUUGCGAAGGCAGCUGGCUAAUCUGACAUUGACGCUGAGGCACGAAAGCGUGGGGAUCAAACAGGAUUAGAUACCCCCGUAGUCC
rnacentral:rRNA from 1 species